UUUGACAUGCCAUAAAAUGAAAACAGGUGUUCUUUUAAAAAUGACUGUAUACAUUUUUAGGGAUUCCUGACUCAUAUUCUGUCAGAAACAACCCUAGAUGGCAUUGACCCGCCCGGUGUAAACUUCAGUUUAUGUGCAAGUGGUAAUUUUAAGCAGUGUUAAAAAAAAAAAAAAAAACUUUUUAAAAAAAGCAGCUCAGAGACACAAGCAAUUUAAGAAAGAACAGUUUACUGGUUUUAACCAAAUGACUACAGUUUGGCGGUACAAAUCAUUUUUUCUUCCAAGUAUAGCCUUAUUGCAACAAAAAUAAUAUGAUUGAACAAAACCUUCGUGUGAUGUUUAGAACGGAAAAAGAAAACAUUGAAAUCUCAAACGUGGAACAGUAGAACGGCCGUGCAGGGAAAAUGCAGAACAUGUCAUCAGAUUUCCACAACAUAUGGGUCAACACAGGAGAAAUGAUGAGACUUCAGGUCUGCUACGUAUGUUCAUACAUCAAAGGCAAAAUUUAAUUCUGCUGCUGUAGUUCCCACUUGAAGCACGAAAAACAUGGGAUAGAACAUCAAGCAAACCAAACAUUGUUUCAAACAAAAAGGACUUCUUCAGUGCGCAUGUCACUCGUGCGAUUCAGCCUCACUCAUCAUGCACUUCAGAAACAAGCAUAACAAAAUGUGACAAACCUACUGCCAUCCAUCUGGGAGAAAGAAAAAAAAAUUGAUCUUUUAUUAUUAUAUAAAAAAAAAUCCUUUAGAUUUGGAUUAAAAAUAAAUAUAAACCAUUACAAAUGGACGUUCAAAGACAUAUAGAGGCCUGGAGCUUCAAAAAAAGAAAAAAGAAGAGUUGCCUCUUGUGGCUGUAAUAUCCAAAACAUAAAUAAAUCCCAAUAAGACAUCCUUUUUGCAAAGUUCAUUACGUCUUCAGCUUAAUGGUAAAACCAGCCCAUCCGGUCCUGCUGCCAGACUGAAAAUGUAGACGCGUCUGCAGUUGAAGGCAACUCGAGACUGGACAUGGCGGACACAGUAUGCAUAUCAUACAUUAUGCAAGAAACCAGGGCCAUCACUCCAUUUAUACUCUCGUAAAAAAAAGCUGCGGCCUACACAGAAGCAGCAGCGUGUAGAGGGGGAAACGAGCGGAGGUGAAAAGAGGAAAAGUCCAAAAUGAAUAGAGAUAAUAAAAAAGGCGACAUCAUGUGUCCUCAAGAGUUCAGGCGUCUCCUUCAUUAAGCUGACGUUGAUUUUUGGUCUUAGAGUACCCAAAGAACAAGGCAAACAUCAAACCUGAGGCUUUGUUGUCUUUUUAAGAAGGUAAAGUCCGUGUAGAGAGAGAGACGAGUCAGAACGCUUGUGCUCCUUCAUUUUCCUUUGGGACAACACCGAGGCUAAUAUUUCAUCUAGUAGCUUUUGGAACACAAUAACAACUAUAUUGCUUUCUUUUUCCUCCUCCCGGUCAAAAACAAACAUUAAGAGAACAUUUGGUUAUGAAUAACCACAAUUAUAACAGACUAAAAAAAAAAAGCUUUCAAUAAACACCCUCCAAACAACAAGAAAAAAACAUUCUAACUAUAAAACAUUUUUUCCAAAUAUCAUCUUGGCCAUUUUAACGCAGGUGUAAGGCGGGUAGGUAAACUACGUCCCCGCAGCAGGAGGAGUCGGAUCUCCAUCACCGAGGCGAAGGAAUCACUGUGCUCUCUGCAAAGGAUGGGAUACUAAAAAUAAAAGAUGCCAAGGAACCAAUUACAGUACAAAAGAAUGGUUCCGAUAAUCCCUACAUAAUACAGAUAGUUACAGAUUGUACCUUUGGUUCUUCUGCAGAUCUAAAAAUCGGAAUUUAAGUAAAAAAAAAAAAAAAAAAAAAGGUGCUUUUCUAAUAUCAUGAAUUAAAAUUGGACUGGAGUCAAAGCAAGCGAUAAAGCACAGCCUCUACUGCUAUGAGCAGCUGUGUGUGUGUUUCACCUUCAGCAGCAUGGAGCAAAACCGCUUCCUCUACGUGUACAACAGCAUUUUGCUCAGACAUCAUCUUGUUUAGGGCAAUGACUAUAGAUCACAGCACCGUGUUGUAGAUUGUUUGUCUCUUCAAAGCAUCUACUUCAAUUGAAAAACCUAACAGAACACUAGGCGAUAAAACAGUUGGUCACACACGAUUGGUCACAAUUCUACAC